GCAUUUGACCGCUCCUCCCUCCGCGUUGGAGGCGGAAUAGUGGGUUUUGCUGCAACCGGUUUAUUUUCCUUCUGUUUUCACCCAUUCUGGCACAAUCUGGCGCCAUCGUCCUUCUUGUGAGGCCAAGCCUGAAAAUGCGAAGCAGAGAGGCAGGACCAAAAUUGAGGCGAAUCCAGGAACCUGCCAAUGGGUCUCCGGGUGCGGUCUCUGAAACUGGAGGAUAUCGGGAGGAAAGGCUCUCCGAUGCGGAGAUAAUGGGGAAGCUCUUGGCAUGGUUGGCUGUAGGUAUGUGAUACCGGAGGAGCAGGAGUCAAAUAGGAUACGCCGACUUUUAAUUCAAGGAACCCUUUUCUGAAACACUUUGCCACAAUGAAGGAAAUAAGGAAUUGUACUCUCAGAGAUGUUGAGAAAAGAUACAUGGGUCUUGGAAGAUAAUUACUCAAAAUAUGCAGGGAAGGUAGUAUAUCUUUCUAUUUUAAAUGUAUUAAGUAUUCCUGGAACUAUAGCAGUGAGUUGGAAAUGGAGGAUUGUCCAAGUAAAAAACAUUUAUUAAGGCUUUAAUGAAAUCUACCUAUUUUAUGGUAUAUAAUCUCAUUAAUUGUCCACUUGGAAAGAAUAAUAACAGAUAUUUAUUUAUUGGCCAGUUACUAUGGGCCACAAAUUAUGCUGAGCUUUUUUUAAUU
ensembl:lncRNA THAP9-AS1 THAP9 antisense RNA 1